rnacentral:tRNA from 1 species
GUGCUUGUAGCUCAGUGGCAGAGCAUUUGCCUAGCAUAUAUAAGGCACUGGGUUUGAUCCUCAGCACCACA